UAUCUGGGGAUAGCCUUUCGAAAGGAAGAUUAAUACCCCAUAAUAUAUUUUACGGCAUCGUGGAAUAUUGAAAACUCCGGUGGAUAGAGAUGGGCACGCGCAAGAUUAGAUAGUUGGUGAGGUAACGGCUCACCAAGUCAGUGAUCUUUAGGGGGCCUGAGAGGGUGAUCCCCCACACUGGUACUGAGACACGGACCAGACUCCUACGGGAGGCAGCAGUGAGGAAUAUUGGACAAUGGGUGCAAGCCUGAUCCAGCCAUCCCGCGUGAAGGACUAAGGCCCUAUGGGUUGUAAACUUCUUUUAUACUGGGAUAAACCUACUUACGUGUAAGUAGCUGAAGGUACAGUAUGAAUAAGCACCGGCUAACUCCGUGCCAGCAGCCGCGGUAAUACGGAGGGUGCAAGCGUUAUCCGGAUUUAUUGGGUUUAAAGGGUCCGUAGGCGGAUCUGUAAGUCAGUGGUGAAAUCUCAUAGCUUAACUAUGAAACUGCCAUUGAUACUGCAGGUCUUGAGUGAGAUUGAGGUAGCUGGAAUAAGUAGUGUAGCGGUGAAAUGCAUAGAUAUUACUUAGAACACCAAUUGCGAAGGCAGGUUACCAAGUCUUAACUGACGCUGAGGGACGAAAGCGUGGGGAGCGAAAC
rnacentral:rRNA from 1 species